ACCUCGUCCCCUUCUCUCUUUUUUUUUGGCCUUCAAGGCUUGGUAAUGUAUACUUCACCAAUGAAAUGAGAAUGAAAUUGUCUAUUACCUUGUCCAUUCUGGUAUUGAAUGGUUGUUUACCAAACUCUAUUUGUCUUCCGUCUUGUUUGGCAUCGACGUAGUUUGUAAUCCCUCAUCGGUUCCCGCUUUGAGUCGUCGUUCACCUAACUUCUUUUGUCUUCUGUCUUGUUCGUUGCCGACGUAGUUUGAAGGUUCCAGAUCGUCGCUGUGUCGAUUUGCCCUUAGGGACUAGAGAUUUUCGACAAGGGUUUUCUCUCUCGUCGAGACGAGGUCCCUUGUGCCUUUGAUGUAGUUUAUUUUUCACCUAUCGCUGGUGUAGUUCGUCGCUUUUUCUUUUUGUCUCCCUUUUUCUUCUGUGUUUUAGUGAGGGUCUUCCCUCUACUCUUGACAGGAUCAUGAGAGUGUGGAGGAGUCAUUGAGGAAGCUUUCCUCCUUGUCGAUCAAUCGAGUCUUUGUUUGCAUCGGGACGAGGUCCUCCCCUUGUUUCCGAUAGUCGAUUUCAGCUCGUGUCAGGACGAGGUUCUCCUCCUGUUCCUGACAAGGCUGUGGGGGCACAUAAGAACCGUUGUGAGGGCCUCUCUCCCCAUCCGAUCUUUAGAAAACUGGACCUUCGACUUUGCUCAUGUUAGGACGAGGUUCUCCUCCUGUUCCUAACAAGGCUGUGGGGGCACAUAAGGGCCGUUGUGAGGGCCUCUCCCUCCAUCUGGUCUUUAAAAAAUCGGACCUUCGACUUUGCUCAUGUUAGGAUGAGGUUCUCCUCUUGUUCCUAACAAGGCUGUGGGGGCACAUAAGGGCUGUUGUGAGGGUCUGUCCCCCUAUCCAAUUUUUAGAAAACUGGGCCUUUGAUUUUACUCAUGUUAGGACGAGAUUCUCCUCCUGUUCCUAACAAGGCUGUGGGGGCACAUAAGGGCCGUUGUAAGGGCCUCUCCCCCCAUCCGAUCUUUAAGAAAUUGGGCCUUCGACUUUGCUCAUGUUAGGACAAGGUUCUCCUCCUGUUCCUAACAUACUCAAUUUGAAUUGCAUGAGAGAGUUAUUUCCUGUCGUUAUAAACUCAUGCUAAAAGAAAAAUAUGCAAAUAUGAAACUUUUAUUUAAGGCGAAGCUAUUGGUAAUACAUUCGUAGAUUUUUCGAGUUCCAUGGUCGCGGAAGCUCUGCUCCUCCGAGCUCUUUUAAAUAGUAUGUUCCGAGCUGGACUACCUCCUUGACUUCAUACGGGCCUUCUCAGUUUG
rnacentral:lncRNA from 1 species